UACGUAGGGUGCAAGCGUUGUCCGGAAUUAUUGGGCGUAAAGAGCUCGUAGGCGGUCUGUCACGUCGGCUGUGAAAACCUGGGGCUCAACUCCGGGCCUGCAGCCGAUACGGGCAGACUAGAGUUCGGCAGGGGAGUCUGGAAUUCCUGGUGUAGCGGUGAAAUGCGCAGAUAUCAGGAGGAACACCCGUGGCUAAGGCGGCUCUCUAGUACGGUACUGACGCUGAGACGCGAAAGCGUGGGGAGCGAACAGG
rnacentral:rRNA from 1 species